rnacentral:lncRNA from 1 species
UCCACUCCCAAGGACAGCAGGAAUACCAAUUGGUCAACACAUGGGCUUUUGCUUAGACUCAGGGCUGUGGUGCAGACAGAUGCCCUCUGUGGAAAACAGCGAGGCCAAUAAAGGCCAAUGAGACACGCUACAGCCGCUUUCCCAGUGAAGUCCAGUGCAAAGAGGGAGAGGUGUGCCAAAGAGGCCUGAGAGAUGGACGUUUCCUCAGUGUGGGUAAGAGAACAGGCUGGAGGCAGGGGAGGGCGGCUGGAGCCCUGUGGAUCCACACGCUGUGACCAUCAUUCAGUAAAAGGGAAAGGAGUCACCACUGGAAAGCUCUGAGAUUCAGAGGAAGUGAGUAAACA